rnacentral:lncRNA from 1 species
GUCCGGUCAAGUGUCAGUAUUACAUGUGAUGCUCUUAAUUGCCUGUUUAAUUGUCAGUUCUAUGUCAUGCUCUAAAUUCUCCAAUCAAGUGUAAGUACUAUAUGUCAUGCUCUAUAUUGUCCGAUCAAGUGGCAGUACUACAUGUCAUGCUCGAAAUUGUCCGAUCAAGUGUCAGUACCAUAUGUCAUGCUCGAAAUUGUC